AGGGCUAUAGCUCAGUGGUAGAGCAUCUGAUUUGUAGGCAGAAGGCUGCAGGUUCAAUUCCCAGCAACUCCA